GCAUUUUGUGUCACAAUUCACUACAAUCGACGCAGUCGCAAUUCCAAUGUUUAAUGUAUCGUUGCAUAUCAGUCCGUACGCAUAUUUGACAAUUUGCCGCAAUAACGGAUUCAGAUUUCAAUGAAUCUUUGGAUAUUGAAAUUUUUAUCGAAAAAAUUAAAAACUAUCUAGAGAUUUGAAAUCUCGCAGAAUAUCAUGACAAGAAAAAAAAAGCGUGGAUAAAUGUUUAUCGUUUUCUGUAAAAAUUUUGAUGAAAAGAACGAGAUUCGUAAGAAUGAAAUAUAAGACUCAUCCUAAAUAUUGGUCGUAUGCAUGAUAUAUAUCUCAAGUUUCAAGAAAUAUUCAAUUUUUACGAGCGGAAAAUCGAAAAACCACCGUUACAACGGGUGAGAUUUCAUCGAUACCAGAAAAACUCCAAUAUAAUAAAAGGUUUUUAUACAUCCUGUAUUUUUCUCUGGCAAAAAAAGAUGCAGCCAACAGGUAAAACGUGGUAGAAAAAAAUGCGCUCUUAUCUAACCAAUCAAUGAAAGUUGAAAAAAUAUGCAAAUUUCAGGCAAGUUACUGCAACCUGACACCUGUCGUUUUCACGAAUAAUGACAGCGUCAACAUCUGCGUUUCUAUAGAAAGCUAUCUUCUCAAACGUUUGCAAAAUUGACUAUUCUUAAUUUUAUAUAAAAAAG